rnacentral:rRNA from 1 species
AGGGCUUCGCAGGCGGUUUUUUAAGUCUGAAGGUUGAAAGCCCCCCGGCUUCAACCGGGGAAGGGUCAUUUGGAAACUGGGAAACUUUGAGUGCAGAAGAGGAGAGUGGAAUUCCACGUGUAGCGGUGAAAUGCGUAGAGAUGUGGAGGAACACCAGUGGCGAAGGCGACUCUCUGGUCUGUAACUGACGCUGAGGAGCGAAAGCGUGGGGAGCGAACAGGAUUAGAUACCCUGGUAGUCCACGCCGUAAACGAUGAGUGCUAAGUGUUAGGGGGUUUCCGCCCCUUAGUGCUGCAGCUAACGCAUUAAGCACUCCGCCUGGGGAGUACGGUCGCAAGACUGAAACUCAAAGGAAUUGACGGGGGCCCGCACAAGCGGUGGAGCAUGUGGUUUAAUUCGAAGCAACGCGAAGAACCUUACCAGGUCUUGACAUCCUCUGACAACCCUAGAGAUAGGGCUUUCCCUUCGGGGACAGAGUGACAGGUGGUGCAUGGUUGUCGUCAGCUCGUGUCGUGAGAUGUUGGGUUAAGUCCCGCAACGAGCGCAACCCUUGAUCUUAGUUGCCAGCAUUCAGUUGGGCACUCUAAGGUGACUGCCGGUGACAAACCGGAGGAAGGUGGGGAUGACGUCAAAUCAUCAUGCCCCUUAUGACCUGGGCUACACACGUGCUACAAUGGACAGAACAAAGGGCUGCAAGACCGCAAGGUUUAGCCAAUCCCAUAAAUCUGUUCUCAGUUCGGAUC